AGCGAACGCUGGCGGCAGGCUUAACACAUGCAAGUCGAGCGCCCCGCAAGGGGAGCGGCAGACGGGAGAGUAACACGUGGGAACGUCCCCCUCGGUUCGGAACAACACAGGGAAACUUGUGCUAAUACCGGAUACGUCCGUAAGGAGAAAGAUUCAUCGCCGAGGGAUCGGCCCGCGUCUGAUUAGCUAGUUGGUGGGGUAAUGGCCCACCAAGGCGACGAUCAGUAGCUGGUCUGAGAGGAUGAUCAGCCUCACUGGGACUGAGACACGGCCCAGACUCCUACGGGAGGCAGCAGUGGGGAAUAUUGGACAAUGGGCGCAAGCCUGAUCCAGCCAUGCCGCGUGGAUGAUGAAGGCCUUAGGGUUGUAAAGUCCUUUUAACGGGGAAGAUAAUGACGGUACCCGUAGAAUAAGCCCCGGCUAACUUCGUGCCAGCCGCCGCUGUAAAAC
rnacentral:rRNA from 1 species